AACGAACGCUGGCGGCAUGCCUAACACAUGCAAGUCGAACGAGAUCUUCGGGUCUAGUGGCGCACGGGUGCGUAACGCGUGGGAAUCUGCCCUUUGGUUCGGAAUAACAGUUGGAAACGACUGCUAAUACCGGAUGAUGACGAAAGUCCAAAGAUUUAUCGCCAGAGGAUGAGCCCGCGUAGGAUUAGCUAGUUGGUGUGGUAAAGGCGCACCAAGGCGACGAUCCUUAGCUGAGCUGAGAGGAUGAUCAGCCACACUGGGACUGAGACACGGCCCAGACUCCUACGGGAGGCAGCAGUGGGGAAUAUUGGACAAUGGGCGAAAGCCUGAUCCAGCGAUGCCGCGUGGGGGAUGAAGGCCUUAGGGUUGUAAAGCUCUUUUACCCGGGAUGAUAAUGACAGUACCGGGAGAAUAAGCUCCGGCUAACUCCGUGCCAGCCGCCGCGGUAA
rnacentral:rRNA from 1 species